UAAAGAUAUAGGGACAGCUGCGUCCCAGGCCAGGAUGGGAGAACGAGCCGCUGGGGACGUGAGGGGAGGGGUCAGUAUUAAGAGGCUGGUCUCUAGUAGGUGCCUGAAGGUAGUUGAAGUCUGGUUCCUAGGUUGAUGCCAGCUAUAGCUGAGGGCACAGGAGAGCAGGUGGCUGUGCAAAGCCACUUCCGGGUUGUGGACACAGGGCUGAGAAAUUGGAAACCUGCCAGUGCCCUUUCAGCUUUGACCUGGCUGGGGCAACCUUGGGUCAAGGCCUCUCUGCAGUCCUGGUUUCCACCAUCAUCAGGAAGGGGAGCUGCAAGAGCCAUCUAGGCAGGCACCCCAGGACUGUGCCAGUCAUUAUUACUCUGGACCCAAACUGUUUGGAGAUCCGGCUGGGGCCUGAGUGAGUCUUCAGUUAGGAAGCUGCAUCAGAAUCUACUGAAUUCCAAUAGAUAAUUGACAGAAAAGUGAGACUCCCUACCCUGAGGUCUCCUAAGAGAAUGCUGCCAGCCAGAAAAAGAUAUGCUGAUGACUGAGGAAGAACUUCUUAGAGAGACUUUCAACUGCAUUUCAGAAAUAUAAAAAUCUAAAUGCGGACUCUAUGAAGGAAGAAAUGAGGAGAAAGCUUUUUUCCUCCUUCCUUCAACAUGUCUAGAAGUCACACAAGAGUUGUAUGUGGAUCUAAAACAAAAGCAAGCAAAAACCAAACAAGCAAAAAUAUCAACAAAUGUAUUCCAUAAUUCUGUCCAUUUCUCAACCCAGCUUGUACUGGUGAACUUGCUGUGAAGAAGUUCAGAAAUUAGUUAAACUAUACUAAGGGACACUCCAGAUGUAUCACCCAAUGAACUCAUAAGAAAAUACUGAAGCUUCUUCAUACAGAUUUUACUCCAAGUCUGCAGCCCACAAGACUUCAGAUUGGACCACGUAAUUACUUAAACACAGAUGUGUUCAUACCACUACAUCUCUAUAAACUUUUUAAUAUUCUACCCACCCUUUAAAGCAACGUUUUCUCUGCACAUCUUUCAUUCUGUGGCCAUUGCCCACCCCCUCCAAAACAAUUCCUAAAUUUUUCAGUCUCUGAAAGAGAGGCUUCUAAUUUGUGUGUGUACAGAGAACAGAGGGAGUGAAGUCUUAGAAAAACAUGCUACAUUUCUGUCACAGAAAUGAGGGCGAGUAAGGUCUAGAAGACUUCUGAACCCAAGUCAAUAAUGGGGUCUAGUAGUUGGGUGCAACAAGCUUACAAUGUCUUCACAGGGUUCUAGGUGCUUAAAGUAAGCUUGAGAAUUUUCACAUACCUAUGGCAAAGGCCUGUUCAGGCUACAAGGGACCCUGUAACUUCUCCAAAAAAAAAAAAAAUGCUAUUAAUCAACAAAAGAACUCGAAGGUUCAAGGCCAAGAUAUCAAAAUGAACUACCCUAUCUGCUGUUAUACCAUGAGGGUCCUUACCCAGACAUUUGCCAAAACCUUCUUACAUCUUCUCCUCUCUUCUACAGGCCUCCAGAGGCCCAAACUUUAAUAGAAUCUGAGGGGUUGCGGGGAGCUGGCCAGUCUAUAUGCCAUUGACAGUGAUGCCAAACUCUUCCUCUUAGAACCAGUUCUCCCUGCUAGGCAGUCAGGUGACAAUCCAAUUAUGAAUUAACUCUACUUGGAUCUCCAUGGCAAAGACUGUCUUAACAGCCUAGCUCGGGGAGAUCAUAACUAUGUCAGACUAGCUUUUUUUUUUCCUUGUUGUUGCUGCUCUUAAACAAAGAGGUUAAGCCUCUGUACAACCAAGUGUUAGAGCCAGAAUUAGAAAACUUACCAAUCGCCCUAGCCAAAGAAAAUCCAUUUCCAACAGGCAUUAAUGCCUAUUAGAAGCCACUGAACACUGAUAUCAUCAGCCCAAUUCAUAGGCUGUCUGACAGAUUUGCCCCCUUCAUCACACACAAGAGUUUAAAAUAAAACAAGUACUUGCAGUUAUAUUCAUUAUUGCAGACAAAAUAUUUGUGUUAGUAAUUAAAAUUACUUCUAUAAUGUGGACUCCACUAUCAUUCCCUUCACAGCCUCUCUGUGAACUGGCCACACCCUAAACUUCCUAGCUCUAAAAAUAUUAACCAAAAUACCAACUCAACACUGAGCCCUCUACUAUGAUACUUAAUGCAUUCUGAGGUACAGCAUGAGAGUUUUAGACAGUGCAUGCCAGUACCUUGAAACAGUCAUCACCCUUCUAUCUGCAAUAAAAUCGGUGUAAUGGGGGACCACGGACCAAUUCAUUGCUUAAAGUAGAUCUAGUGGCUCCUCCCUAUCUCCAGGAACAACAUAUAAAUGAGCAAGAAGUAACCUCAGAAGAAGAAACUAAGUUCCGGGAAAUGUACACAGAGAAAAGCCAGACUGUGUUUCUCUGGAUCAAGUUAAUUAAGAAACACUGAAACAAAACAGUAUAUUGUAAUCAAAACCAAGGAAUGCAGUGAAGAUAGGUUUCUCAAUUGCCCAGAGAAGACACAGUUCCUUUUCAACUAAAAUUAGAAAGCCACCAGGAACAUAAGACAAAAAGCAGGAGUAAGAGGAGAUCCUUAAGUCAGCAAUGGGGAUAGAGGUGGGGUGGAAGAAAAUAAAUAUCCGUUUUGUUUUA